AUUAGGGUGUCCCUUAAAUUUCAAGUUUGAUAUUUUUUCACGCAUACCCUCUUAAAAGUUUUGUAAUAACCCUAUACUGUCUAGAAAAAAAUAUCAGUUUGAUUCAUAAACAAUAACCCGUGCCGACUUACGAUUGAAGCUUGUCUAUACAAGUUGUUCAAGUACUACGCUGUGACUUGUAGCUACCUACAUGUUUUAUUAAAAUUUGUCGUUUCAUGCGUGAUUUUUGAGAUUAUUAGUGCCUCAUUGUUUAGUGCGUAAACAUGUCGGUGGAAUUACGGAGUGACAAACAACAUAUUUUCCUUAUCGGAUUGCCUAGCUAUCAAAUAAAUGGUGCAAAAUUGCCAUCUAAUCGACAAGUUCUUUCAGUUCUAUUUUACAACAUUCGUGAGGUUAAACUGACUGUUAGUGAAAGUGCAAAUCUUGUGAUUAGGGAGUGCAUCAUAUAUUGGGAAAAAGCAAGAAUUCCAACAAGGGCACUUCCUAACUGUGUGAAGAAACUUGUUGAUUUAUAUCAUGUUUGGAGAGAAUUUCAAAAAAAUUGUAAGAAAACUCAUGUUACGUUCAAGAGCCGUGAGCAAAAAUUCAAAAUUGAUCUUGAUAACUUGUUUGAUAUUGCACAUGCUGAUGCUCUUGAAAAAAUUAAAAUAGAGGAGGAUAAAUUAUUUUUAAUGAAACAGAGAGAACCAGGUCGACCGGGAUGCUUAGGUGGUGUAGAUAAAAAAUUGGCGGAAAAAGAAGAAAGAUCCAGACAACGACGAUUGGAAGAAGAGGAAAGGAUUGUAAGACAAAGACAAACACUAGCUGUCGCAUCUACUUCCACCACAAAUAACUUAGAAAGUCUAGAAGAUUCAGACGAAGAACAGAUAUUGAAUUCUGAACUUAGCUUUUCGGACGUUCCCUGCCAUAUACAAAGUUCAAAAAGAGGUAGAAAGAAUCUCAUAACACCUAAACUAGUUGCAGCUUUAGAUCGAUGCCAGUUAAGCAUUAGAGACUCUGUUUACAUUCUUAAUGCGGUGGUAGAAGCGCUCGGUCUGAGCAGCGAUGAUUUCCCUAUUAACAAAUCAUCGAUUCAGCGAAUUCGUACUGAAACUAGAAAAUCAAGGGCAGAAGCAAUAAAAUGUGACUUCAAAGAGAUGACUACCGCGAAUUGGUCGAACUGUGCUUAAUAUAUUUGGGAGGAGACACAGAGAGAAAAUUAAAACUAAGGCCCCCCGGAGCUAUGCACCAGGCACGCUGGAUGGCGAGAGCGAUUUAUUCUUUAAAAAUAUGUUUGCUUCAGUCACAAUGCAGAAUGACUGCGAAUGACAAGACGGCUCUACAAGAUGUUUGCUUAUUUGUCGUGAUAAUAUACGUUAAACCUUGGCUCCAAUGCACAGUGGCGACCAAAGCACCUUACCAAGAUUUGCGCUUCUUGAAAAUGUUAAAGGAGUACGAAAAAGUUGACGCAACAAUUUCUAAAGCUUCUAUAAGCAAGUUUAGCCAUCACUUGUGGUAUUUAUGUGAAGAGACAGUCAUUCUAUCACUGUUUGAUGAUGAAGUUGAUAACCAAACUAAGAAGAAAAUGAUUGCCAACUUUAACAGGAACAAAUUCUCAGAUUUAAGCAAACGCUAUGACCCGUCGAAGGGAGAACUGACUCAAAAGUUGUUUGACAAAACACUGGAUGAUUUCGUAUCGGAAAAGAGCAAACAAUUUUUUUCACGACUGCAGAUCGAUGACAGUUUUCUAAAGGAAGAUGUAUCUUCUUGGAGUAAUAAUGCUGGUUUUCUGGAAGCUAAGAGAAGAAUAAGCUAUUUAAGUGUUGUAAAUGAUACUGCUGAAAGGGCUGUUAAAUUAAUGCAAGAUUUUAACGGACUUAUCACGGCCGAAGAAGAACAAAAGCAGUUCUUGCUGCGCUGUGUCCAGGAACAUAGGAAAUUGUAUCCGGACUGUAAAAAAAAAACCCUAAAGAGAAGUUAUCCUGACUGAUUGUUAUUACCUUAUGUUUUUAAUUAAAGAUUUAUGUGUUUCUAAUUUAAUUUUUACUUUUAUUCACUUAAUUUGUUGCAUUUAGCAUAGCAGAUUCAAAUAUCAGGACAAAACACGUUUUUUACUAAACUUUGAAGCUCGGUCGGCACUAGUUGCAAUUAUGCUAGAAACAUUUAAUUUAGUAUUUAAAUAUGUUAUAACAUUACUAAAAAAAUUAGAGGGUAUGCAUUGCGAAAU